rnacentral:lncRNA from 1 species
CAACAUGGAACAACUUGGAGUUAUUUGGACAUCAAUUAUGAACUUUGUCAAAAGAAACCACAUUUGUAGUGGACCUGGGAUUUCUAGAAGUGCCAAUGGAUGAAGAUAAUCAAAGAAUGGACAGUGCCACAGCCUAAGAAGAAUUGUCCUCCAAAGAGACAAAGGUUUCCCACAAAGAAGGUGCAGGAUAUGUCUCCAGAAUUGGACCCAAAAGAGCAUUCUGGACAAUUUGAUUUUGAGAGGUUUGAGGAUGGACACACUGCAAAAAUCUUCCAAAGAUCUGAUAUUCUAGGAAUCCUGUAGCAGUGCUGGCAAUGCGUUCCAGUAGCUGCCUGUAAAACCCUCAAUAUCAGCUCUACUAGACUUCACUGGAACACUGCUGUAAAAUCAUUCCGCCUCCACCACAGUCCUCUACAGUGAAAGUCCACUUAUAAGAAAGCGAGCCAGAGAAAAGAAGAAGAGGUAAGGAGACAGAACACGCACAUACACUCCCCACUGGACAC